CAGUACAGUAUAUUAAAAAAGCUAGCAGUUUAAUAACAGUUAUGAUAAUUAUCUGGACGGUGUUCCUUCUUUGAUGGCCAUUCUUUUAUCCAAUUUUGGCAUUGCCAAUACCAAACCCUUCAUCUCUUUCACCUCAAAACCCAUCAUUUCUUCUCUCAAUCUCAACCCUACCUCCAAAAGGCACUUCAUUCUCCAAACUUCUUUGCUCUCCGUUGGAUUUUCCUUUGGCAUUUCCCUAACUCCUCAACUUCCACUUGCUCUUUCAUCUUCCUCGCUUCUUUCUUCCAUUGAAAAUACCAAUUCUUGGUUUCGAUUCUAUGGCGAUGGCUUUGCUAUUCGAAUUCCACCACAGUUUCAGGAUGUCUUGGAACCUGAGGAUUUUAGUGCUGGAAUGUCUCUUUAUGGAGACAGGGCAAAGGAGAAGAAAGUCGUAGCACGGUUUGUAUCUUCAGAUGGAUAUGCGGUUCUGAAUGUUAUUACUCGGCCAACCAGUCAACUUAAAAUCACCUUCUUAGAGGCUCAGGAUAUAACUGGUUUAGGCUCCUUGAAGGAAGCGGCAAAAUUAUUUGUUCCAGUUCUUGGUUUUGGCGUCUCAUUUCGCCCACGAUGUACAUGCAGGAGGGUCAACUCUUUACUCAGCAAGAUCAAUAAAAAUUAAGGAAGAAGAUGGUUUUAGGACUUACUAUUUCUAUGAAUUUGGUAAAGAUGAGCAGCACUUAGCAUUGAUGGCAGGCGUAAGAAGUGGAAAGGCUAUUAUUGCUGGCGCAACUGCAUCACAGUCCAAGUGGGACACUGAUGGUGUAAAACUUCGUUCUGCUGCUAUUUCAUUGACAAUUCUGUAGCUAUGUCUUGAUAUUUUUUAACUGGGUAUGCCAACUCAUAGUUUCAAUGCUUUAGUGAUAUGGUUUUCAAUAUUUUUGUAUUAAGUAAUAUUGUUCGCUAUUUUAAGUCGAGGUUUCUAUGUAAACCUCACGGAGUAUAGAAGAUCGUCAAUUUCUUUGUAAUGAGAUUAUAUAAUUUUGUAGUGUGUAUGUAUUCCCCCAAAAAAUAUGAUAUUCAAAAUGUUUCUUAGUGCAAAGACAGUAGGAGAUUCAUUCACCAGCUUCAUACUCUAAAUUUGAAUUUGAAGCUGAAGCCUGAUCCAGCUGAUGAGAGUUGAGAAUAUUGUUGUAUCAAUGUAAGCCAUUUAUGGGAUAAACAGUUAAUCAUUCUAUUUUAAGCUACUUCUUGUACUACUUCUAAUCACUUGUAUAGCAUUUCUGUUUAUAGUUUUCACAUUGAUGCUUCUUUCUGAUUUGUAACCAUUCUCUACCUGUAAUGGAUGAUCACAUUAAUUUUGUUGCA